rnacentral:rRNA from 1 species
UACGGAGGAUCCGAGCGUUAUCCGGAUUUAUUGGGUUUAAAGGGUGCGCAGGCGGAAGAUUAAGUCGGUGGUGAAAUUUUGCAGCUCAACUGUAAAAGUGCCAUUGAUACUGGUUUUCUUGAGUGUGGAUGAAGUAGGCGGAAUUUGUGGUGUAGUGGUGAAAUGCAUAGAUAUCACGAGGAACUCCGAUUGCGCAGGCAGCUUACUAAACCAUAACUGACGCUCAGGCACGAAGGCGUGGGGAUCAAACAGGAUUAGAUACCCCCGUA